UAAAGAGAAGAACUCCAUGUGACAUUACAUUAGGAGUUGCAUUUCAUUACAUAGCGAGAUUUAACAACGCAUUGGUGUGCCACUCUGGGUGGCUCCGGCACACUCGUGGCUACGCCCCGCCGUGACCCAAAUCUCAUUCGCACAUCAUCGCGAUAUUUAUCAUCAAUUUACAAAUGUCAUCACAUCUCGUUUCUUCACAUACAUCUCAUACUCCUCCAUCUACACGCUCCACAACAUUUAAACCAACGGCUCUUUUAAGAGCCAUCACUUGCAAAAGCUUUCCUACUCACUCACUCACUCACUCACUCACUCUCUCUCCUACUCACUCACUCACUCACUCACUCACUCUCUCUCCUACUCACUCACUCACUCACUCACUCUCCAACUCACUCACUCACUCACUCACUCACCCUCCAACUCACUCACUCACUCUCCUAUAGGGAUGU